UACUAACGGAUGCACCACUAUCAACGAG
rnacentral:piRNA from 1 species